rnacentral:lncRNA from 1 species
GCCCUCUCCUCCUCGGCCUCCUCCUCGAUCUCGCCGUCGUCGGACUCACCAAAUCAAUCUUCCGCCGUGCCCGCCCGUCCUACAACCAUUCCUCUAUGUCAGCCGUAGUCGCAAUCGACCACUACUCCUUCCCCAGCGGACAUUCAACAAGAGUCUUCCUCGUCGCCUCGUUGAUCUCUCUCUCAGCUGCUGCGAUCCAGGCCGCUCUGAUCGAGCUGAAGUCUGGCGGAGGAUUAGUCGAGCGGUGGAUCGUCGGGGAGAGAGUGGUGGAGAAUGUGGUGAUUGGUGUUUUUGCUUGGGCGGCGAUCACAGCGUCGUCCAGGGUUGCUCUCGGGCGGCAUUUUUUCUUUGAUGUUGUGGCUGGGUCGUGCUUGGGAGUUGUUGAAGGUUACAUUGCUUUUCGAUUCUUGCGGUUUGAGGAUUUCAUGAGGUAAAAGCUUGCAGCAACAUUGCUAUCUCAAUCGAAAUGCAAAUAGUCCCAAUUUCCUUAGCUGUACUUGUAAUUCGACUUGCACUUGGGAUUUUGGUCAUUCGUUGUUCAUUGGGUUGAAGAAAAGAUUGUUUCUUUACUUUGUCUGCAGCACUUUACUUUAUCAGAAAGUUGGCGAGGCUGCAAGUUGAGUGCUUCUGGAUUUGUUGGCUGGGAAAAUGGGAUGCACCCUCAGUCUGAUGAUCAGUCCUCAUUGAAGUAGAUUGAAGGUUGAGGUAUACUAACUUGAGCAAUUGACUUGGCUUUUCAAGUUUUGGUUACGUUUGCGAUCGGUUUAUUGAACCUUGAAGUUGAAGAAGAUCAUCGUUGUUUAGUUGUGUAUCAUUAUGUAUUCAUUAUCAAGUGUAUAUCGUUUUAACGACCACAGUUGAUCGUUAUAUCGGGACCGCUACAGUUCAAAUAUGUUUGAUUGUUUCACUGUCGUGAAAACUACUACAUUAGUCGACAUGCUCAUUAUGAGCUCAAACCACUUCCUUUCUUCCACUGCUUCUGCUGUUGGUUGAACUUGAGGAAUCCUGAGGAAAAUUUCUGUGUAUGAUGCUUUGUUUCUGUGCCCAGAAGUAAGGUGUGUUCCUCAGGAUUCAUUAGAGGUCAGGAUUCAUUUGGGGGACGGUUCGCUGAAAAACCAUCGGCUAGAAACCCAGCAGACUGAGAAAUAUUCAUUAAAAACAGUACAGGAACGAGAAUGAGAGCGAAAGGUAGGAAUCUUUUGCACGAUUGACAGCAACUCAGUCCACAUUCGUGUGACCGGUGCUCUGUUACCACUUGUCGGCACCGGAUCCCCUCAACUCAUCAACUCCUCCAAUGUGAACCUUAAUUUUUCUCCGAUCGAAAUGGAAUAUGGAAACACUCAAAUGCGAUGUUAUGGCCUUUAAGCUGAGGUUCUCAGACUUCAAGCCUCUCCUGUAUUAUUAGUUUGUAUGAAAAAUAAUUUGGACUGUUGAUUUGUACAAUCCAAGUCUACAUCUUACGGGCUUGCUUCACUUCGUCGAGUGUCUUUCAACUCGAUCGGUACUCCCUGUCUCUGCUUCCGCCGCUAUACGAUCGAAAAAGUGUUUUCAUAUUUUCAUGUGUAUACAAUUCAUUAGUUUGGCAUUAAUUUGGAUAACUUAUAGCUGCAGUAGAAUGUGAAUCCAUAUCAUUCUUUCUGCCAAGCAAUUAUUAGCAUGAUUGGACCUUUAUUUUCUGAACAAUUCCUAAAAGACUGCAUACUUGCAUAUAUCCAUAUAUAAACUUCAAUCAUUAUAUGAAAAGACUUGCUUUAUUUGCCAAUGUGAACAUUUCCUCAAUUUCCUUUUCAAAAAAAAAAUAUCGGCCACAGCCGUGAACUUUAAUCCAUAGCAGUCAUCGAGCUAGGCACAAAAACAAGUUAAACAUCUUUGAAGACAACACUUGCACAGUGGACUCUAGCCUUAUAAGUAAUUCUCCCAAAAACCUUUGUAUUAGAGUCGAUAGGAUUGGGAUUUCGUUUCCUCGAUCCAUUUUUAUUAAUAACUAAGACUUCGUGUCCGCAUUUUUUAAACAUAAAAAUAGUUCUCCCAAAACGGCGAGGGUAGACUUUUGUAUAUGCGGUCGCCAUUUUUACGCCCAAAUUCAACGUUCAUAAUUUCCUUCUUACCCUCUGCAACUUGCCCCUCUUCUGUGGAUAAUCAUUGUCCAAGUUUUACUUUACUGUAUAUUUAAAACUUAACUAGCUGGCAUGGUGAAAGAGUGGAGUGAAAUAAAGCUGUCCCGUAACUAGUUAUUUGGUCGUAUAACUAGUUAUUUCAUAUUCAUUUUUGAGGUCAACACUUUUCGGUGACCGGAUAGCGGACUGCCGUACUCAAUACCGAAGACAUCUCUUUUCUAGUCCAAGUUGAGUUGCGCAGUUGAUAGCCUUGUAUCGACAAUUCAAAUGUAUCGUCUUCCCUGUUGAAUCCAUAAUAUUGAUUUCCUUAAUUGCCAUGUAACUAUGGGUAUGCUGAUGGAUGUACUGAUCAACCGGGGCUCAAUAGAUCCAAAGAUUUUGAUGUUAAUGACAAGUGGAUGUAAACAGUCAAUAUGCGAUUUGGAUCUAUCCCAUAAUUAUUACUUGAAAAGGAAUAAAGAUAGCGUCACUCUGAUGGGUGUGAAACCAAGUGAAAUAUUACCAAACUUGUCCAAAUUGAAAUAUUAUAUUUAUCUGAAUAAAAAUACUUACAUUAGGGUACUGAUCAUUUCCAGUUAGAUUUCGAUAUUUAGGCAAUGUUUCCGCUAUUUUAAGUCCAAUUUCAACCGGAAUUUCAAUCAGAAUGAGACUCAUUACUUUAUACAUUCGGAAAACAUAUGUAGUGGAAUUUUAUCCGCACGGCGUCCAAGAUUUGGAUUGAAUUCCAGCACAUAAAACAUCGACUUACAACACUUUUAGUUACCAACAUAGUUGAUAAGAAUUUCAGACAUACUAUAACUGAGUAAAUCUUUUGUAUCUAUAUGAUCAUAAUUCAAGACAAGAUUUAUACGCAAGGCAUGUGGGAACAUACACUAAUUAAUCCCAUUAACUUCCAAAACUUUGCCUGAAAUUUCCAGGUGUCCUAGUGGACAGCUAAAUCAAGCAACUCCAAUAUUCCUCCUUCCAUCUCACUAUAAAAACCCUACCCAUAGUUCCUUCACAAACCACCCAACUCCCUUUUCUUCUUCUUCUUCGAACUCUUAACAACACUAUCAACAAUGGCUUCCAAAACCAACUCAGCCCUAGCUCUCUUCCUUGCACUCAACCUUCUCUUCUUCUCCAUGGCCUCCGCUUGCGGUGGUGGCUGCCCUACCCCGAAACCAAAACCGAAACCAACUCCCACUCCCACUCCUUCCGGCGGUGGGAAAUGCCCGAUUGAUGCCCUCAAGUUGGGAGUGUGUGCCGACGUGCUUGGCUCACUGUUGAAGCUCAAAAUCGGAAACCCACCGGUCAAGCCUUGUUGCAGUUUGAUUAAUGGACUUGUCGAUCUCGAGGCUGCUGUUUGUCUUUGCACUGCCAUCAAAGCUAACCUUCUCGGGAUCAACCUCAAUGUUCCGCUUUCUCUUAGCUUGCUUCUCAAUGUUUGCGAGAAGAAGGUCCCAUCUGGCUUCCAGUGCCCUUGAGUUUAACCAGGCGUGCUUUAUAAUUAUGCACGAGUGUGUACUCUUUUAUGAGUUUUUAAAUUUGUUGUGGGUUAAGUUGUCGAAGUGUGAGUUUGGGGUUGAUUCAGUUGUGUGAUAUCAGACAUAUGAUCUGUGUGUUUGUAGAUCUAAUAUUCCACUGUUCUGUAUUGUAUGUACUUCGAAUAAUUGAGUUCUUGUUGUGUACCAUGUUCUUUCCGGCUAAUGGCACUGGCGAGGUGAUUAACCUAUAGAAAAGGAACAACAAGGUUUCAGUUAUUGAACGAUAUCAAAGAAAGUGGCAGUCUACUGCACUUGCCCAUUUCACUGCCCAACUAUCCAUUUCACUAUCAUUCUCACUGCACUGCUCAUUUCACAAUGACAGACGAUGAUGCUUCAUUUACCUGUAGAUGAAAGACCAUGAACGCCUACAACAAUGGGCAGCCUGGAGUCGGCAACAACGGAAAGGAUUACCUCUCUCUGGUCCAAACAAACCGAGCCUGUAAGCAACGAUCCAAUACUCGUUCAAUAUGCUUCAUCUUCUUACAAGGCACUUGCUUCUAUCUUGACGCAUGGGCGAGGAUAAAGCCGGAGCACGAUGCCAAACCCUUCACCGCAAGGUUUUCGGUGCAAAAGUUAAUCAAGAGGUAAAAAGCAUUGGUUAACGGACAACAACGAGACAAAAGCACACCCCUGUUUAGAUUACCUCAUGAAGAACAGAGUUGCGCUUCCACUCACCUGACCAAUAACGCUGUAAAUUUUGGAAUUAAGAGUUACUACACAGAAGAAAUCACACAUGAGACUGUCGAGGUGAUCAGAAAUAUUGUGUGGUAUGGCGGUCCAAUAGUUGGUAGGCAUGCGAUAUGUGAAAACUACACCAACACGAGCCGACCUUACCGCACCAACUUUGAGGAAGUUCUACAAAACCUACACCAAUAUUUGGUUGGCUCGUUAGAUGAGACACCACCUUCCAAGUUGCAACAUUACCCAUGCUGAACUACGGGGUGCAGUCGAAAGGUUUGAGUUCAUUUGACAGUUUGGCUUUCGUAAUGUUACUCUGGAGUUUGAUUUGAGAUGUUCUCUCGACCUCCGGGAGGAACAUGCAAUGAUAUGACCACCAACAUGCUGCUUUGCGUGGCAGAUUUCGUGAACUACGUGCUCGAGACCGGCAGCUCAAGCUAGUUCACAUCUACAGAGAGGCUAAUUCCGCUGUUGAUUAUUUAGUUCGUCCGGGUCACUCUAUCUCUUACGGGAUCCACCACAUGACCUCGUACCUUACCGACUUUAUAUGAACAAACCGGUUAUUUCAUGAUCAUUUAUCCCUACUCUAAGACAAAUUUGUACCCACUUCUAUCUGGUUGUCAUUCGUACCAGCAGAUGCUUGUUUUGAAGUUGUUAAUGAUGGAAUAUAUGUUCAUUAUUUGGAGAUGUGAAGAUCAAGCACAUAUUUUAAUAGUUAAUACCGUGUGCAUGUGGACAGCGAUAUGAUUAAUCACGAGACGAGUACUGACAAAUUAAAUUAGUGUAAUCAUGAUCACGAGACAAACAGUAAUAGAAUCAACCUCCCAUAUAUAAUCUAUUCAUGUGUUUACAUAUGAAAAUUUGAAUGCGAUAAAUCUACCUUUGAUUUUUUGGAACCAGAUUAAUUAUACGAUUAAUACCUCUUCAAAUUAAUAGCAUUUUCAUAUCCGUAUUAUUUUAAUAAUUGUUAAGUGAUUUAGAAGAUGAUGUAAUACUUUUUUNNNNNNNNNNNNNNNNNNNNNNNNNNNNNNNNNNNNNNNNNNNNNNNNNNNNNNNNNNNNNNNNNNNNNNNNNNNNNNNNNNNNNNNNNNNNNNNNNNNNNNNNAGAAAUGGGUAAUCAAUUUUUAAAAUGGAAAUUAUCAAAAAAACUAUUAUAUUUACUGUUAUUCUGAUAGAAGUUUGAGAGAAAUCGAAACUAUAAAACUACGCCUAUGUUUAUUAGAACGUAAAGUGCAAAGAAAGAUAAAUUUAAAUAAACAAUUCUUUAUUAGUUAAUUUUUAUAUUUAUAGGGAGUCAUAAAUUGUUACUGUCACAAAAGAAAACUUUUGUAUAAGAAAAUUGUCACCGAAGUUACCUCUUACAUCCUGUUUGUGGCUAUAUAUAAUUAUGAUGUCAUGAUUUGUGGAGUAGAGAAUUGGGGGAUGGUGUUGAAGCGGGAUGUGGGCGGGAUUUAGUGGACGGAGGAAUGGGCUUGAAUGAAUUAUUAUGUAAUGGGCCUGACUCGUUCCCAAGGACACGGAAGGCCGUUGCCCCACAGUUCAAAUAUAUCGGCUACAAUUUGCAUUUUAUUUUCCCAUCUCCUCAACUCCAUUACCAUACCCACAAGCCAAGUUAGAAAAUAAUUGGUAUGGUUGUUCAUGCUUGUUUUGGUGUGUUUGAUCCAUAUACAAAUAUUUUUAAUUUCUCACAAUUCAUUAAGAGAGGAUUCUGAUUGAUAUUUAUGUUAUUUACUAAUAUUUUUCGUCCUCUUAAAUGGAAGCUCUUAUAAUUAGGGAUAAGGUUGGUACAUCUGCGAUAAGGUUGGUACAGCUGCGAUAAGGCAUUUGCACAUAUUUUGUGCUCUACUAUUGGGAUUCAAAACAGAAAUCUCCCGAUUAUGUAAGGCUCUGAUACAAUGUCAUGAUCCGUUGCAUCCCAACAAUAACUCAAGUUAUUGGGAGAAGAUUCUGAUUGAUACCCUCAAACGGAAGCUCUCAUAAGAGUUGAGAUUUGGACAGCUUCGAUAAGUCAUAUGCACAGAGUGGAGCCUAUCGAGAUUCAAAACGGAGACCUCUUCGUCAUGUAUCACUCUAAUAUUAUGUCAUAAAUCGUUUUAUCUCAAUAAUUCAAAUUGCUGAAAAAAAAUUCUGAUUGAUAUUUAUAUAAUUUACUAAGGUUUCCAUACAUAUCAUCACACAUCUUCCUAUCUAUAUAAACCCCUCAGUUCCUCUUCUCUGAAACCACACAAUAGCAUCAUCUAAUAUCUUGUAUUUCACUCUUUCUCACCAUCCUAAAACAACAAAAAAUGGCGUAUUCUACCAAGACAGCAACCCUAGCUCUGUUCCUAGCCCUGAACCUCCUCUGCUUCUCAGCCUCCCCUGCCACUGCCACAGUAGACACAUGCCCGUACGACAUAAUCAGGCUUAGCGUUUGCACUGACCUGCUCGGGUAUCUGCUCAGGAUCAGGAUCGGAACCGCGCCUCCUAGCGCACCCUGCUGCACCCUCAUCACCGGGGUGGCUGAUCUCGACGCUGCUGUUUGUGUUUGCGCUGCCCUCAAAGCCAACGUUCUCGGAACCAUCACUAACCUCAAUCUUGCCCUCACCUUGCUUCUCAAUCAGUGUGGCAGGCCCGUUCCAACCGGCUUCACCUGCGCUUACUGAUCAAUCAAAAAUCGAAAUGCAUGCUUACGUAGUUUGUGUUUGAUGUCAAUUGUAUGGUGCCUAGAGGCAUCGGUUGACGUCUGUAAUGUUCUUAUACUACUAUGAAUAAAUGGAUGAAAAUCAAGCAGUUUAUUACUUUGUCUACAUCUUAUAUAUCAUGCUGUUAGUCUCCGCAAUUUCGAAAAAAAAAUCGACAACAGUUGUAUUGGGUACCAACAAAACUAUCCAUAUGAUAAUCAAAUUAUAUGUAUCAUCCAAAUACAAAGAUGUAAAAAGAGUAAAAGACAUAUUGAAACAAAUACUAUAUAGUUAAUAUUUUUCAUAUCUCAUGCGCAUACUAAAAUACAUACUUAAAAGGAUUAUCCGAGUAUCAAAUUAUAUUGUUAAUACUCUCACACGAUGACAGUUUGUCGAUUUAUGGUCAAGAUCGUAAUUUGAAAAUGCAUCAAAAUAAAAAAGAAUUACGAACUCGAGAAUUUGAACAACUUGAUUGUAUUCCCUAUAUAAUAGGACAACUACAAGCAAAUAGAUUCCAUAUAUANNNNNNNNNNNNNNNNNNNNNNNNNNNNNNNNNNNNNNNNNNNNNNNNNNNNNNNNNNNNNNNNNNNNNNNNNNNNNNNNNNNNNNNNNNNNNNNNNNNNNNNNNNNNNNNNNNNNNNNNNNNNNNNNNNNNNNNNNNNNNNNNNNNNNNNNNNNNNAGGAAUCUCAAAUAGGGAUUAAAAAAUAUGAAAUAAGAAACAAAAUAAUAGGGAUGAAUCAACACAAGUGAACAUGGCAAUUUGUCGGGCUAAAACCAUCUUCAAUAUUAAGUCUCAAAUGGCUAUAUUUGAGUUUUAUAUUUAGCAUUUUAUAUUUUUCAAAAGAUAUUAUAUGCUUGAUAGAUAUGUUUGUGCUGUUACGGAUAUUUAUGGAGAUUAGAUGAAAAGUUAUUGUAAUUAUAAAUAUUAAAUUUUAUUUUAUAACAUAUUAUAAUUAUUUAGUCCCAACUUUAGCCAAUAUAGAACAAAAAAUUAUAUUUUUAAAGCAUUUAAAACUUUAGUCUUAUACAUUAAAAAAAUUUAAUUUUAUAAUUUAGCUAUUUAAUCAUUUAAGCCUUGGAGAUGAUCUAAUAAACACAAAGUACCAAAGGUUGGCACAAAAAUUGAUGUGUCUUUUUCCAGAUGUACAGCUACAACAAAUCUGGAUCCUUUCUCAUCCUUUCUCAAUUCCCCAAAUUACCCCUCACUCGAGCACUAUAAAACCAACCCUUUCCCUCACUCACUUCCCUCACACCAAUCCCACAGUAGUAAACAUAGCAGCAAUGGCUUCCAAUGCCAACUCAACCAUUGCUCUGUUCCUAGUCCUCAACGUUCUCUUCUUCACCAUGGUCUCAGCCACACACAAUGGCUGCCCACCUCCCCCGCCGAAACCAACCGACUGCCCGCCUUCCCCAUCCAAACCGAAACCAACCCCUUCCUCCGCGAAAUGCCCCGUUGACACCCUGAAAUUGGGAGUGUGUGGCAAUGUUUUGGGCUCAUUGCUCAAGAUCAAGAUCGGGGACCCACCGGUCAAGCCUUGCUGUAGUUUGAUAGAAGGGCUAGUCGAUCUCGAGGCUGCUGUUUGCCUUUGCACCGCCAUUAAGGCCAACAUUCUCGGGAUCCACCUCAAUGUUCCGGUUUCUCUUAGCUUGCUUCUCAAUGUUUGCAGCAAGAAGGUUCCGUCCGGAUUCCAGUGCCCCUAGAUUGAUUAUGAGAACUAUUGAACUAUUUUAUGUUUCGGUUCAUUGAUCAUGAACUUAUUAUUUGGAGUUUUUGGGGCUUGGUUGUUGAAGUUGUCAAAGUGUUCAUUUCUGAGGUAACACAUAUGUUAUCUAGUUUGUAUCUGGUGAUUUCUUAUUCUUCGAUUGUGUGUACUAUGAAAGGUUGAUUUAAGUUGUGUACUAUUGGGAAAAGGUGGAAAUGAUAGGUUUGAUUGUUCUUAAU